GUCUGAUAAUUCACUUUAAUAUUAUCUUACAUAGUAUUACAUUUAUAUAAAUAUUUUAUAUUAUAUUAUUAUUAUAUUUAUAGUUCUACGGUGUCACUUUGUCUGUUUGGCUUUUAUUUUGAAAAAGGCGCAUUUUCUUCUUCUAAUGUGUUUGUGACGCAAAAAACUUCCUGCCACUCUCUCCUCAUAAUGUGAUGCUCACGUGUCGUCGGAAGAACGACCUACGAACUGUGAGAGUGUCACGAGAGCACGAUAGCUGAUGGUGGAAACUAUUUGAAUAGCGUCCUUGGAUAGCGGAAUGAGGUAUGAAAGUGUGUCUAGUUUAUUGUCAUUAGAAGGGAUUUUAAGGAAAAGAAAUCUUACUACUUCAUUUGUUUAUGGUUAAUUGCACAUGUCGUCAAUAUACAAGCAAUAUCAUCUCUGUGAGCAACCAUAUUGUAUUUCAUGUAAAAGCAUGUGAUAUUUUGUCAUAAAGGCUUAAAAACAUUUCAUAGUAAUAUUGGUUGUUAGUUAAAAAUGAUUUGCAUUGUGUGUAAACAUGAUUAAUAUGUGAACAUUAUUUAUGUGCAAUUAUUUGUGAAACUACAUUGAAGCAUUUUGUACUUCUGUUUAUUUUGUAGUUUUCACGGUGUUCAUGGUGCAUGGUGCACGUUGAGAGGCAUAAAUAAAUCGACACCCGUUUGAAA